UCAUCUGGCUUACUAGCAUUCAUGUCCCCCAGAGGAAGGCCACCGCCAUUUGGUGACUUUCGCAUAGCUCGUGGUAAUUUCAUCCAACGAUCUGUCUCAAUUACACUUUUCUCUACUUUUGGAGCAAGCGGCGCAUUUUCAGAAUUAUCUGACUGUGAGAAAGGUGGAGUAUCAGGAACAACAACGUUUGUGGUGAGCACUGGGACUGGGACUGUGGACUUAUUUCUCUUCUUCGCCCAUUUCCUUCUUUGAUUAGCAUUCUGAGCAUUUGAUUUAGCCUGCUAAAACAAACAGAUCAUCUUAGACCCAGCACAAGCACAAGACUAAACACAACAUGGGAAGACAGAGAGAGGUUUGAUUAGAUCAUUUAUUUAGGGACUUCCCUUUUCAAAGAAUGACUGACACGCACCAGUGUAUUUCCAAUAUCUGAAAGAGGCUUUCUUGGCCCAUGAUCACUGUGCACCUCAGCAGGCCCCUCAAC